UACGUAGGCAGCAAGCGUUGUUCGGAAUUACUGGGCGUAAAGGGCUCGUAGGCGGCCAACUAAGUCAGACGUGAAAUCCCUCGGCUUAACCGGGGAACUGCGUCUGAUACUGGAUGGCUUGAGUUCGGGAGAGGGAUGCGGAAUUCCAGGUGUAGCGGUGAAAUGCGUAGAUAUCUGGAGGAACACCGGUGGCGAAGGCGGCAUCCUGGACCGAUACUGACGCUGAUGAGCGAAAGCCAGGGGAGCAAACGGG
rnacentral:rRNA from 1 species